AUUAUCCAACCUCCCAAUUCCUUGCGCGCUACCAUUCCCGCACACCGCACGGUGGCAACCUCAUCCUCAAGCGCCGCCCUCCGCCGCUAGCUCCGCUCGCCGACGACUCCCUUUUUUCUCCAUCAACAAGGUCACCAGUUGGAGCCUCGUCGGCGCCCGUCGUCCUCACCGUCACAAAGCGGUGCUCCUCCCGACUCCGUCCUCACCGUCCCGAGGCCGCAUCCGAGCCGAUCUCAUCCUUCACACGAAGCUGCGUCGUUUGUCCAUCGGUACACCACCCAGCAAGCAGCUCUCGCCUCCAUCUAGCAUCUUCAGCCUCCACCACGUCAAGCAGGUUGAUCUCAAUGAAAGAGUUAUUGGUAGUGACUUCCCAAAUGAAUCACAUAAGAAGCUGAAGAAUAUGCUCCAUUGAAUGCUAUGCAGGUGAUGUAAUAGUUUCUUCACUAAUAAAUAUUCUACUUAAUUCUCAUACUUAAACAAUUGUUCAUCAUAAGUUGUAGGAACUACAUCCUAGCGAUUGUGCGGGAACCAAAGAGUGUUACACCGGUUUAUCGUUACCACAAGAAAAAAUGGUUGCUAAGAAAGCACACAUCAAAAAGUGUGAUAGGGCCAAUGAAGGAAGUGUAGAAUCAACUUUUCCAGACAAGCAGAUCACUAUCCAGGAAUUGCAUCCUAGUUUUUCUAUGAGAACCAAAGAGGAUUACACUGGUUUAUCUUUACCACACAUGGUUGCUAAGAAGGCACGCAUUGAAAAGUUUGAUAAGGACAAUCAAGGCCGCGCAUAAUCAACCAAAGAGGGUUACGCCAAUCAAGGAAGUACAGAAUUUACUUUGCCAGAUAAGCAGAUUACUGCCCAGGAAUUACAUCCUAGCUUUUCUUCGAGAACUAAAGAGGAUUACACUGGUUCAUCUUUACCACACAUGGUUGCUAAGAAAACACACAAUGAAAAAAUUGAUCAUAGGGUCAAUCAAGGAUGUGCAGAAUCAACUUUGCCGGACAAGACUAACCAGGAAUUGCAUCCUAGCAAUUGCGCAAGAACCAAAGAGGGUUGCACCAGUUUAUCUUCACCACAUGAACACACAGUUGCUAAGAAAGCACAUGAUGGUCCUGAAGCAAAUAAUGGCCAUGCUGAAUAUAACAAUGCCACCAAGCAAGGUGGUCCUGAACCAACAGAACACAAAUUAACGACUCCUACACAACCUCAAAACAAGCCACCAAACACUGGGUAGCUCAAGAUUUACAAAAGGAGUGCAUUGCAGGAGCCAGGAGCAACUAUAGAGGAAUUAGUCUUUAGAUAGACAAAUAUUAUGUAUUAUAUAAAGAUUUUAGCCCUCAGGGGCCUUGUUCCCUCUGCUCCCGGAGUCCGGAAGGUCGCCUUGAGGCGCCU